UGUGGUAUAGAGCCUUUGCCUAGUAUACAAAAGACCUUGGGUUCAAUUCCCAAUACUAUAA
rnacentral:tRNA from 1 species